rnacentral:rRNA from 1 species
GGGAGGCAGCAGUGGGGAAUAUUGGACAAUGGGCGAAAGCCUGAUCCAGCAAUACCGCGUGUAUGAAGAAGGCCCGAGGGUUGUAAAGUACUUUCAAUUGUGAAGAGGGGAUAGUUAGUUAAUAGCAUUCUAUCCUGACGUUAACUUUAGAAGAAGCACCGGCUAAUUCAGUGCCAGCAGCCGCGGUAAUACUGAAGGUGCAAGCGUUAAUCGGAAUUACUGGGCGUAAAGCGCGCGUAGGCUGUUAUUUAAGUCAGAUGUGAAAGCCCCGGGCUCAACCUGGGAACUGCAUUUGAAACUGGGUGACUAGAGUAUGUUAGAGGAAAGUGGAAUUCAGGGUGUAGCGGUGAAAUGCGUAGAUAUCCUGAGGAACACCAAUGGCGAAGGCAACUUUCUGGGACAAUACUGACGCUGAGGUGCGAAAGCGUGGGGAGCAAACGGGAUUAGAUACCCCGGUAGUCCACGCCGUAAACGAUGAGAACUAGUUGUCGGGAGGGUUUACCUUUCGGUGACGCAGCUAACGCAUUAAGUUCUCCGCCUGGGGAGUACGCCGGCAACGGUAAAACUCAAAGGAAUUGACGGGGGCCCGCACAAAAGGG